GACAUUUGGUAGGGACUGUUGAAGCCACCUGGUCCCAGCAGACCCCAGAAAAUGGCCACAUUCACUGGUGCUGGAACAGGUCAUUAAGGGUGAAGACUGGUGCCAGAUGUGU
ensembl:rRNA 5S_rRNA 5S ribosomal RNA